UACGUAGGAGGCAAGCGUUGUCCGGAGUUACUGGGCGUAAAGCGCACGCAGGCGGUUCAGUCAGUCUGUAGGGACAGGGCACAGCUCAACUGUGCCAGGCUUACGGAAACUGCUGAACUUGAGGGCUUCAGAGGGAUGGGGAAUUCCGGGUGGAGUGGUGAAAUGCGUAGAGAUCCGGAAGAACACCAAAGGCGAAGGCAGUGUCCUGGGGAGUACCUGACGCUCAGGUGCGAAAGCCAGGGGAGCGAACGGG
rnacentral:rRNA from 1 species